ensembl:lncRNA
GUCUACUGCAGAUGUAGCAUUUUGUUUCCCAUGUCAAACGUUCUGUGUUGGGUUCAAUGCUAAUGCAGACAAUGCUUUCGCCCAAGCUAGGUAUUCUAACUGGAAGCAUGCUAAUGAUAGUAUCAAAGAAUUUGUUAGGCACGCAUCAAGCAAAGAUCAUUUGAAAUGCACUGCACUGUGUAAAGAACAACUUGUUUGAAGUGCUAUGGGAACAUCGUUGGGCAGCUGGCAUGAAAUCGCAUGUGUUUGUCACCAGAUUGUGAACACUGAGUUCCUUGCUUCAAACCAGCAACCACUGAGGGUGACAUUGGACAACAGAUUCAAGAGGGGAGGGGGGCAGUGGACUUUUUCUGUCUAUGAUGGUGUUUAGCACCAUACCCCACAAUGUCACAUACACGUCAAUGAAAUCAUAGUGCUCAUGAAUGGGGCGUCCACAGCUACAUGCAAGAACAAAUGUUUCAUCUUGACAAAGGUACUCAGUCAGCAAAGAAGAAGCACACUACACCAAAGGAAAGGUCAACUAAUCCAACUGGCAUUUGAGGAAAAUCUUACAGUUCCAUAGAGCAUGAAGGAGGCUACAAACUCUUCUGAAAAGAUCUGCCAACCUGCUCGGUGGGUGACAGGUAACCGUCUUUCCACCAAGCUGUUCCAGGCCUGGAGUGGAACUUCCAUAGGCUUGUAGACCUGAAGUGGUGUGAUGUUUGUCCAGAUCUGACACGCCUAUUAGCUCAACCACAGUCUUCACAGCUGCAGUCGUCUGCAUCUAAUACACCGGCCACGACAGGUGACACAGAUCUGCUGUAGUAUUUACUGCUGUCCACUGCUGUAGUAUUUAAUUUACCGGCUGCACCAGUUUCUACUCCACUGGCCGUGAAGGGAGAAACUUUUGAGGAUUCCCAGAUGGAUACAGAUCUGCCAUGCACUCCACCACUGCCUGACAACCUCACCCAGAAGUGCAUACACUGGGCCUUUCAAGACUGACAAAGCAGAGAUGGGUGGCUGACAAGGAAAAAUAAAACAACACGCGCACACACACACUCACACACACACUUUAUCCACAAUGUAAAUAAGUUGUAAUUGCUUGCUUAUUUAAUGAUUGCUCCAUUUUAUUUUAGGAUUGGAGAUAUCUACUCCUAUAUAUCCAUUAUCAAUGUCUGCAUAAUUACUCUAAAUAUCUAUCAAAUCAAAGUGGGAUUGAUAAUAUUAUAAAAGACUGUGUACAGUUUUAGGAAAUUCUGUGUACAUUUUUCUGAGUUGAAAAACACGCCUCCCUCUCACACACACACACUACACCCAAUGUAAAUAAAUUGCAAUAACUUGUUUAAUGUAUGUAUGCUCCACUUUAUUUUAGGAAAAUAUCUGUAAUAAAGUACAUUCACA